GAGCUGCUGCUACAGCAACUUCACCCACAGCUACCAUGACUUUGAUCCCCGUCUUCAUCUGGACACUGAUCUUCUGGACUCAAGAAUGCAGAGGUCAAGUCACAGUAACUCAGACUCCUGCAGUGAAAUCUGCUCUUCCAGGAGAAACAGUCACCAUCAACUGUAGAACCAGUCAGGCAGUGUACAAGGACUCAACCGGUGACCGCUUACACUGGUAUCAGCAGAAACCUGGAGAAGCUCCUAAACUACUGAUUAAAUAUGUGAACCAGUUACAGUCAGGUUUUCCAGCUCGUUUCAGUGGCAGUGGAUCUGGAUCUGAUUUCACUCUGACCAUCAGUGGAGUCCAGACUGAAGAUGCAGGAGAUUACUACUGUCAGAGUUGGCAUGAUAUCACUGGCUACUGGUUCACACAGUGUUAUAGAGUCGUACAAAAACCUCCCUCAGUCAGAUUGUAGAGAGACUGCACUGCUGCAGCUGGGAGCGACUGCAGGUGCUGAGUUGUAGGAUGUGAUACGACACAAUGACACUUUGUGGAGGAGAGGAACCACACCACACUAACUCACAACUCACAUUGCAAAUCUCUCAAUAAUCAUCACACCACACUGCAUACAGUCCAUCAUGUCCACAACCUAUGUAGUUUUCUACAACGUCUACCCCUGGAGAUGCAUCCUCAUGUCUAGAUUCUGUGAUCCCUAUGGAGAAGAUUCUUGGGUUACACAUCUGACUAGACAAGCAAACUCUAGGUAGCUCUAUUAAACUAACUAACCUUCUCUCCUUACAUUGCAUCAAGACUCUUCUCUGUCCUGGCCCCCAGGUGGUGGAAUGAACUUCCUCUG